rnacentral:rRNA from 1 species
UCGCCUGUUUAACAAAAACAUCUCUUCUUGUGUUAGUUUUUGAAGUAUGGCCUGCCCGUUGACGUUUAAAAAGAGUUGAAGGGCCGCGGUAUUUUGACCGUGCAAAGGUAGCAUAGUCAUUAGUUCUUUAAUUGUGAUCUGGUAUGAAUGGCUGGACGAGACAUUAGCUGUCUUAUGGGUAUUGUUUAUUGAAUUUGGAGUUUGAGUUAAAAUUCUUAAAUGUUUUUAUGGGACGAGAAGACCCUAUAGAGUUUAACAGCUUUCUUACUUUUAUGUUGUUUGUUUUGGUGUAUUCUUAAUUGAGUAGGGGAAGUUGUUUUGUUGGGGUGAUGGGAGAAAUUUAUUUAACUCCUCUUUAUGGUUGUAUACUUGUAUGUAUUUCUUUUGAUCCAUUUAUUUUGAUUAUAAGAUUAAAUUACCUUAGGGAUAACAGCGUUAUCCUCCUUGAGAGUUCUUAUUGGCAGGAGGGAUUGCGACCUCGAUGUUGGAUUAAGGUGAAUUUUCGGUGUAGGAGCUGAAAUUGAUUAGGUCUGUUCGACCUUUAAAAUCUUACGUGAUCUGAGUUCAGAACCGGA